rnacentral:tRNA from 1 species
GGGGGUAUAGCUCAGUUGGGAGAGCGCUUGAAUGGCAUUCAAGAGGUCAUGGGUUCGAAUCCCACUAUCUCCACGA